rnacentral:lncRNA from 1 species
GAGCUCUUCUCUCCUUAUUUCACACAACAGUAAAACCUUUUGGACACACUUGAUCUGAUCAGAAAUGGACCCUAAAACAACCCAUGAUACCUUUCAUGUUCUUCCAGAAUACCUUGUAUAAUUUCCAAACACCGAAAUUCCCAGGACCCCCAUCGGCUUUCUAGGGAGUGUUCAUGGCAGAUAGAGUUGUUUUUAAUAUUCACUGGUAGCACUCACCUCUCACCCGCCUGUUCAUGAUCAUGGACAGGUGCAGCCAGAAAGCCGUCUACCCGCUCACUAGAAAAAUAUCUGUUUGUUAAGAUUUGAUAGGAGGAGGGGAAACAUAGGCCCCCCAGGAAUUACGGUCCGUUGAAAUUGUUUGAAACAAGGGGAAAAAUGGAAGCCUACAAACUCCUUGUUUUACUGGCCCCACCUUCUCAUGAACUACAUCAAUUCAGACUAGUUCCCAAAUAUGUUAUUUUCUUUGUCAUGGCCACACCUGUGGCAUAUGGAAGUUCCCUGACUAGGGGGGUCAUAUCAGAGCUGUAGGCAACACCACAGGUACAGCAACACCGGAUCCAAGCCACGCCUGCGACCUACACCACAGCUCACGGCAACACCACAUCCUUAACCCACUGAGCGAGACUAGGGAUUGAACCUGCAUCUUCAUGGACACUAAGCUGAGUUCUUAACCUGCUGAGCCGCAAAGGGAACUCCCCGAUUAUUUUUUUUUUAAGCCAUAGAUUCAGACUAACACCUAGGUCAGAGGGUUUUAUCUUAUUUGAUUUUAUGGCUGGAGGGGAAAAGACUACUUAAAAAUGAACCCAAACAUCUCCUAAGUUGGAUGCCCCAAACCUGGGCUGCAUAGAAUUAGAAUCACACAUCGGGAUCACUGGAAUAACUCUCACCAUUUGGAAUCAAUGCACAAAACUGCACUGCCCCAGCCCUAACUGCCUCACCCUAAUUCUCCACAGUUCCCCCUUUUUGGGUGCAUUUUUUUUUUUUAAUGAGAUCUUUAGUAGAAAAUUAAUGCUACAAGUAGAGCUCUUCUAUUGUCAUUCUGUCCCUGCAGCUCUGGUUUUAAUUAGUUUGCCUGCUCGGAAGCUGGUCCUUUGUUGUGGCCUGCUCAGGGGCAGAGGGGUGCCUGUGGAGGCUUCCUCUUCUGGAAUGCAAGCAUUAAUGAGCCAUUUCAGAAAAAAGAGCCCUCUCCUGAGCCGGGAGCCAGGGCACCCGAGAUGCCCCAAGGAGCAGAAAUGCUCAUGAAUUUCUGAGGCCGCCUUUCCAAUUUGCAUUUAAACCUAACUCCUGAAGAACAAUUUCACCUGUGAUUUUCUGAGCUGGGGCAUAAGGGAGUUUCAAUGUUGAAUAUGUACAAAUUAUGUUAAUGCGAGAGAGGUAAAUGAAAGUCAAGUGCAUUGUCAUGUAAAAUGCAUACCUGUUAUCUAAAUACCUAUUUCCUACCAAAGGUUGCUAUGUUUUGUUUUCCCCUUAGGUGAAAUGCAAUGGAAAUUUUUUAAAUGCUGUGAAUUUUUAAAAUUCCUAUUUGAUUAAAAUGAUCUGAUUUUUCCUGAUUUUUCUGUAACCCAGGCUUCAGAAUCUGAGCAGGAAGAGGAUUCACGGGUGCCUGGCGACUCCUUACAAUGCAUGGAAAUCAAUCUAAUGGAACACCUGGUCACCCAUCAGUGCUCGUACUCAAGCAUAAAAGUGAGGGCAGUGUUGGGAGAUCUUCACACUGACCUCAUGACAACCACAGAUUCUGUAUCCAAACACUGGCAGACAAGCAGCUAACUGUAAUGAUGAAAGGCACAGGGCUAAAAGCAGGAAUCAUCACAGCUGGGAUCCAAAGACAGGCUGCUCGCCCUCAUUGCCAGGGCACCUGGGCAUCCAUCUAAAACCUGCUUCCACUAGGUUGGACACCAUUGGUCCCUCUGACCAAUGCAAAAGAGAAAUGAUUCGUCACUGUGGUCCCCUCAACAGUGAAGGGUCUCUUGAUGAGUGUAAAAUCAUGCAAAAGCUGACGUUUCAUCACACUGCAGAGCUACAAGGCUAAUGACUGGGACCUGUCUGCAUCCCUUCUCCCCAUCCACCCCUUGAUACCAACGGGGACCACAGACACACCAUUGUCUAAGUUGUGACACGCCAUCUGUAAGACACUGUAACCAGAGCCAGCAAUGGUGUGGGAAAUGUGCCACAAUGCAGCCCUGUGGUGACAUGGAGGGGUCCUGUCAGACCCUUGGGAUUCAAGGUAGUGAUCAUUAAUCAUGUGCUUCCUGAAACAGACAGCUUCAACCACUAAGGGGAUAUUAAGAUUAUCCACUUGGAUCUCACUCCUGGGCACCUAUCCAGACAAAAUUAUAGUUCAAAGAGAUACACGCACCCCUAUGUUUAUAGCAGCACUAUUCACAAUAGCCAAGACAUGGAAACAACCUAAAUGUCCAUCAACAGACGAAUAGAUUAAGACACAGUACAUAUAUACAAUGGAAUACUAUUCAGCCAUUAACAAGAUCAAAAUAAUGCCAUUUACGGCAACAUGGAUGCAACUAGAAACUCUCAUACUAAGUGAAGGAAGUCAGGCAGAGGAAGAUAAAUACUGUAUGAUAUCACUUACGUGUGGAAUCUGAAAUAUGGCACACAUGAACCUAUCUACAAAACAGAAACAAACUCAUAAAGAACACACUUGUGGUUGCUAAGGGGGAAGAGGGAGGGAGAGGGAUGGUUUGGGAGUUUGGGGUUAGUCAAUAUAAACUAUUACAUUUAGAAUGGAUAAGCAACGAGGUCCUACUGGAUAGCACAGGAAACUACCCAAUCUCUUGGGAUAGACCAUGAUGGAAGGUACUGUAAGAAAGGGAAUGAAUAUAUACUACUGGGUCACUUUUCUAUAGAGCUGAAAUUGGCACAAAACUGUAAAUCAACUAUAAUUAAAAUCUAUAUAUUUUUUUCAUUUGGUUUGGGACUUAAAAUAACCAGCAGUAUGUAGGCCAACCAAAAAGCCUGCUGACCUGGAGGCAUCCUUGACAUGAAGUCCCACUUACCUUCUCUUAUUUAGAGCUUAACUUCAUUUUCAGUUUCAUCAAGCCGUUUGGGGGCAUUUCUCUUGGCAGCAGUAAGGCUGGGAAGCACUACCUGUGAAGUUUGAGGCUGGAAUCCACCCAGACCCCACUGAAUCACUGAUUUCUCAGCUUAACUCCAAUGAACUGGGGUAGAACUGGGUAUUCUUAAGUAUCACCCAGGGCAGAAAAAAACUCAACGCGCUAUCUAAAUUAUCCAACUAUCCGGAUUGAAAGAUUUUACUUGGAUAAGACAUACUUGCUUCUGAAAUUCGGCAGGAGAGUCUUCUGGUUUCAAAUCUAUGGGUGCCAACACUGAUCAUGGAUAUAUGAUCUGUAAAGCAAAUCACUUAUUUUGGUAUUUUGCUACUUGGUAAGAAUAAAAUGGAGAAAACUGUUUAGGGAAUCUGGAUCUUCAUGCAUCCUCUAUCCUUCCAGUGUGCUCUCUGCUCAAGGGCUGGGGUUGGGGAGGCAUGGGAAUUUCCAUUUUAUUGCACGAUGUUUAGGGCCUGGUCAGCGGAGGAGCGAUGAGCUGACGCACAUUCUUCACCCCCUCCCCCCCACUUUUUUAACUUAUUUUUUAAUGGCUGUACCUGUGGCAUAUGGAAGUUCCCAGGCCAGGGAUGGAAUCUAAGUGGCAGCUGUGACCUACACUGCACCUGUGGCAACAACGGAUCCUUUAAGCCACUGUACCAGCCUGGGGAUGGAACCUGAGCCUCUGCAGCAACCCAAGCCACUGCAGUUGGACUCUUAACCCACUGCGCCAUAGCAGAAGUGCCUACACACAUGCUUGGACGAGGAAAGGCGGCCACAGCCCUUUGUGCCAGCAUCUCAUUAUGCCUUUCCUCCGCUCUUUUUGCCAAAGCGCCCUGCUAGAUUAUAAAAGGGAUGUGACAAGGAACAUCUCACCAGAUUCUGCAAAAGCAGAUUGGGGCGAUGGAAAACUGAAAUACAGAAAGUGAAGCUAAGAAACCAAUUCUGAAAGCAGUGUUUGACAGGUAAGAAGGCACGGGAAGGUGUCAGGGGUACCCAGGUCUAUACAACCAGCCGAGGGCAGGAAGCAACAGAAGAACCCAUUAUCCCGGCACCCACACAGGGUUUCCGAACACAGCUCCCUGCAUGGUAACAAGGAGGUUAGCACUGACUCUUACUCAAAAUUAAAUUCGAUUAGAUAUUUCUGGUGGGAAUACUUUAGAAAUGAAAAAGCAUUUUCAAUUUCAAUUAAAUUAAAUACCCAAUUAUGUCACUGGGAAAUUUACCUCCGUAGGAAUCUGUUUUACUUUUACCCUUUUAUUAAAAGAAAAAUUCACGUUUUCCUUUCUGGUCAUACAUUAAAGCGUUUUAGGCAAAAUGGCUCGUUUUCAUCUGAUUAAAAUGCAGCCUAUUUUAGGUUUGGGGAUGAGAAUCUGAAGUCCAGGGACCCAGUGAAAUUGUGUGGAAUAGUUCUUAGCUGUACACAUACAUAUUUUUCUAGGACAAAGGUUCUUAGCUUUGAUCAGAUUUUUCAAAUGGAUCUCUGACUUUUCCCAAAGAUUAAUAACUUCUGUUCCAGAGGGAGCUGAGGUUUUGGCGAAAGUAAGGGAUCCUUACUCCAGAGCCUUGUUUCUCUCAAUAGUUCCUAAAUCUUUUGGAUUUGCACAAUUGCUUUUAAAUUCACAAAGGAAAUCCGUAAGACCUACAAAGAAAAGUAAACUUGGCUCUCACUGGAAGGGGACUGGGCAGGAACUGAUUAAUUCUGCAGUGAUGAGAAUUUAAUAUACAACUUUUUACUUCAUUUCAGGUAGCCUGAAUUUCAGAUAUGAUAUUGUCAGCAAAGAAACCAUUUCUUUUCCUCCCCCACAACUUCUUCUUUUUUUCUUCUUUUAACCUUAAAAAAGGUUUCUAUUUAUUUGAUUUGCAUUUUCCUAGCAAGGUCUUUUCUUCUGAAUUCAAGAGACUGGGAGUGAAAUUAUUCCACCUGGGGAGAAGAGAAAGCUGAAAGCCAAUUUAAUAUUGGUUUUCAAAUACAUGAAGGGCACUCAGAGAGAGGAUGUUAGCUAAAGGAAAUGGUCUUUGAACUAAACUACGAAGAAUCUGAGUUUUGCUCUAAAGUUAAAUUUCCUGGCAUAAAGCAUUCAUAACCCUAAACUGAGAGACUGAAAGAUCGCUUUUGGAGACUUUAUAAAUAGGACAGAUUCUUAAAUGUCUGGGAUGAGGUCCUACCUGAUGUCAGGAGGAUAAAUUUCACCACCAGCAGCAAUCCCUUCCUGGCCUAAAAGCCUAAGGAUAUGGCUGGUGUGUCAGAAGUUCUAACACUAGCCCUGGACAUCCAGAGUCACGUCUCCAUCAGGGGCUGGACAGCAGCCAAUCAGCAACCUCACACAUUGGCCAUCUCUCAGCUGGUCCCCACUCCUGCUUCUGUCUGAGUCUGGGGAGCGGUAACCAAGCGCAGGGAGAGCUCUGCUCCCUAAUUUCACCCCCAGUUCCCAUCAAGCCCUCAGAGAUCCAGGGUUUGCAAGAAAAACAAAAGCAGAACUCAGGCAUUGUAGUCAAAAUUGCAUGAGUGCCCAUUUUGUUUAAAUCCAUAUUAAGCUUCACAGCACACCUUUUUUCUCCCUCUUGGCAAAAGGUAAGAGCCCAGCUCUGUUUCCGAAACCAAUACCUUCUAAGACCGGGCUGGUUUCAGCCUUCCUUUUUUUUUUGCUGGACAAUGCUGCCCCUACUUUGAAAGGAGGCGAUAUCUAUAGCUAGACCUUCAGGCUGGCCUCAAAAGUCUUUCUGUGGCUCCCCAAGGGAAAACCCUAAGGGACACAUCCGGGUCUGGAAGCUCCGCUCCCCUGACUCCAGUGGGCCUGUGCGCACAGGCUCAGAGAUUCUGAGUUGUUCGGGGAUCCUGGAAAACAUCUGGUCAACCCUUGUCUGCAAUGUGUGCCCCUUGGUCACAGCUCCCAAGUGGUCACCGAGCUCCAAGAGGUUUCCAAUCAAACCAUUUGAAAGCUGUCCUGCUCUCAGCAAGAGAAAGUACUGAGCUGAAGUCUGCUCCCUCCUCUUGCCCUUCGUGUCCAUGUCACAAGAGUCUUUGCAACGUCACUCAAAGAGCUAAACAUCGGACUUUCACUUGGACGGUCAAGUCCAAAGGCAGCUGCAGCACACAUGCCCUCUGAGGUUCAGGAGCAGAAUCCCUAGCAGGUUGCUGCCAACCUCCUUUCGCAGAAACAAAAUAAUCUGAAAAACAUGUCUGAGGAUACUCUGCACGUGAGGAACCCCCACAAAAUGCUGAUCCACGGGAAAACAUCAAAGGAUAAACUGUGUAUUUGUGGGGGUGCCUGCCAUGGAGCUAAAAACCCAGCACAAACCAAAGGAGGCUAAUAAGCUCAAGAUGGAAAAAAUACUCAGACAAUGCGCACAUCGUGGUUCUAUUAAUAUUGGUAAUAUGGUAAUAUUAAUAUAGUAACAUUAAUAUGGCACCUUUACUGGAAUUCCUGUUGUGGCUCAAUGGAGACGAAUCUGACUGGUAUCCAUGAGGACUCAGGUUUGAUCCCUGGCCUCGCUCAGCGGGUUGAGGAUCUGGCUUUGCCGUGAGCUAUGGUGUAGAUCGUAGACGUGGCUCAGACCCUGCAUUGCUGUGGCUGGGGUGUAGGCCGAUAGCUACAGCUCCUAUUCAACCCCUAACCUGGGAACCUCCAUAUGCUGUGGGUGAGGGCCUAAAAAGCAAAAUAUAUGUACAUAUGACACCUUUACUUAGUGGCUGAUAAAAAAGCGAAAGCAUCAAUGAGAAUAAUAGGAAAGCGGAAAGUGGAAGUCACUGACUCUCCCCUGAGCACACGGCGGCUGGCACAGCAGGUAGAAGUCAUCACCCAGAGAAUGGGGACGUCCCCCUCCCUCCUAGAGGAGGCCACUGUGCCAUGUGCACAUGUGACAUGGCAGGAAAGAGAUGAACAGCUAGUGGGACCAAGAGUGGGCGGUUAAAUGGACCAAGAAAGGGCUCCACCACCGGAUGAAAUCAGGAAGGGAAGGGAGUGUUUAAGGCUGUCCAAAGUCUGAAAGGGUGUGAGGAUGGAAUGUCUUCCUCACCGGUGUCCUCCAAGACUGAGACUGGGACUAAGCUACCUCCGUGUCACCCUGAGAGCCUGCCCCCACCAGGUGUUCCACACACACUUACUGCCACAUGCAUUGUGUCCUGGCCCAAGGCAGCGCUGAGAACCAGCUCAUUUUUGGAAGAGAUGUCCUGGGACACAAGUCUCUGUGGGAAAGGACUCCGCUACCUGAUUCCAAGCUCAGAACAGCCUCAAUGGAUCUGACGCUGCGUGAGAACAGAUGCAGGGAGAAGUCUUAUAAGCCAUGAAAAGGGACCACGCAAAGUCCAACAGAGGAAAAAAGCCAGUAUAUAUCUUUUUGAGGAUUCUUUUUUU